rnacentral:lncRNA from 1 species
UAAAAGAUUAAUUGUGUUUCCUUAGUCAUUUAAUGAGAUGCCCAAUCCAUUGCCGGAGGAAUUAAUAUCUGCAUACAGACUGUGUAGCAUAUAUCAUCAUCAUAUAACUCCAUAAUCUCGUCCAUUGUUUCUGUGAAAAAAGAGAUUAUAGUUAGCCGUGAUAAAAAUAAAUAUAAAUACAUAAAGGAAAGGAUUUAAUUGCACUUUUAGUCUUGUGUAAGAAUUUGGAUUUGACCGAUAGUUAGUUGGUUCGGUGGUGAUUGACGCUGAACUUAGUAGGAGAACCAUGGUUCGAUUCCCGCAACUGCUAUCGGGAGAGGACAAGAACAGAUGUCAGAACUGACCCCGAACCAGAUUAAACAGGUGGAACGUUGCUUCACUAAUAACUUUGGUGUAUAAUAUAUAGUGAAAACUAAUUUGUGACCAAAUCUUAUUCAUUGAUUCUAUUUUAUUUUAGGCUUAAAUCAAUAACUAAAAAUACUGUAAUUAAUUUUGGGGGCCAUCGAUGAGAAGAAACAAAUAAUUGAUUGGUUACACACACAGGGAAUAAUUUGUACUGCAACACACACACAGAUUGUGUUGAAUUAAUAAGUUAUGUAUGCUAUGACAUUUGGAAGACUAGAAAUCUACUGAUGUUUCAGGAAGAAGACAAACCUGUUAUGGUAGUUAGGGUUUAGGGUGGAACUGUAACUCGCAUGGCCAUGAAAGCUGAAGCUAUGGGGAUUAUUA